AUUGAACGCUGGCGGCAGGCUUAACACAUGCAAGUCGAACGAGUGGCGGACGGGUGAGUAAUGUCUGGGAACCUGCCCGAUGGAGGGGGAUAACUACUGGAAACGGUAGCUAAUACCGCAUACUAUCAGAUGUGCCGAGAUGGGAUUAGCUAGUUGGUGGGGUAACGGCUCACCAAGGCGACGAUCCCUAGCUGGUCUGAGAGGAUGACCAGCCACACUGGUACUGAGACACGGUCCAGACUCCUACGGGAGGCAGCAGUGGGGAAUAUUGGACAAUGGGGGCAAGCCUGAUGCAGCCAUGCCGCGUGUAUGAAGAAGGCCUUCGGGUUGUAAAGUACUUUCAGCGGGGAGGCGUUACCCGCAGAAGAAGCACCGGCUAACUCCGUGCCAGCAGCCGCGGUAAUUC
rnacentral:rRNA from 1 species